ACAAGAUUCCGUAGUUUUCACAGCAUUAUUGCUGUAUACUGAACAAAUGCCUACUGCAUAUCUGUAUACAGUAUGUUGCUGUAGAUUUUCACGUGAUCAUGGCCAAAAUGCUGUAGAAUACGAGACUACAGUAAAUACAAUUAUCCUGUGAAUCAUAUUACAGUAAUUUUGAGCAGGAUCUAUCGGACUUCCACAGCCAAGCCACGCAGCCGGAAAGUUCUUCAGAGAUUGCACUAGAGUAUGUUCCACUAGAGAUAACGACACUACAGGCUGUUUGAAAGACAACACCGACUCAGAUAUUGAAGCACAGAUUUCCCUGCCUAGCACUCCAAGGCUAAUCAUGCUUGGAGGCAGCCAAGUCCCUUGAAUUUGUCCAAUGAGUAAGUAAAUCCAGAACAGAGUAAAUGUGCUGCUAAAUUCCAGACCAGCAAGAGCACGGGAAAGAAGGUUCAACGGAAAAAUCAGUCCCUGAAUCAACAUGUUGCCGCUCUAAUCCAGGA